rnacentral:rRNA from 1 species
CCUACGGGAGGCAGCAGUGAGGAAUAUUGGUCAAUGGACGAGAGUCUGAACCAGCCAAGUAGCGUGAAGGAUGACUGCCCUAUGGGUUGUAAACUUCUUUUAUAAAGGAAUAAAACGAGGCACGUGUGCCUUUUUGCAUGUACUUUAUGAAUAAGGAUCGGCUAACUCCAUGCCAGCAGCCGCGGUAAUACGGAGGAUCCGAGCGUUAUCCGGAUUUAUUGGGUUUAAAGGGAGCGUAGAUGGGUUGUUAAGUCAGUUGUGAAAGUUUGCGGCUCAACCGUAAAAUUGCAAUUGAUACUGGCAGUCGUGAGUACAGUUGAGGUAGGCGGAAUUCGUGGUGUAGCGGUGAAAUGCUUAGAUAUCACGAAGAACCCCGAUUGCGAAGGCAGCUUACUAAACUGUGACUGACAUUGAUGCUCGAAAGUGUGGGUAUCAAACAGGAUUAGAUACCCUUGUAGUC